UUUGAUUCGAGAGAAACUCUAUAAAAGGCGUUAUGUGACGUAAAAUAGCUCAAACAGAAAACAUAGUAUUUUAAAAACAAAGACCCAUAUCACAAAAAAGAAAUGCUGCUUUGUUAUUGUUCAUUAAGUUGUUCCUAUAGACUCUUCAGUGGGGGUAUAUAAUAUAUAUAUAUGUUAGUGAAUCUAAACAACUCUUAUUGGAAC
rnacentral:lncRNA from 1 species